rnacentral:rRNA from 1 species
GACGAACGCUGGCGGCGUGCCUAAUACAUGCAAGUCGAGCGAACAGACGAGGAGCUUGCUCCUCUGACGUUAGCGGCGGACGGGUGAGUAACACGUGUAUAACCUACCUAUAAGUCUGGGAUAACUUCGGGAAACCGGAGCUAAUACCGGAUAAUAUAUUGAACCGCGUGGUUCAAUAGUGAAAGACGGUUUUGCUGUCACUUAUAGAUGGAUCCGCGCCGCAUUAGCUAGUUGGUAAGGUAACGGCUUAUCAAGGCUACGAUGCGUAGCCGACCUGAGAGGGUGGUCGGCCACACUGGAACUGAGACACGGUCCUGACUCCUACGGGAGGCAGCAGUAGGGAAUCUUCCGCAAAGGGCGAAAGCCUGACGGAGCAAGGCCGCGUGAGUGAUGAAAGUCUUCGGAUCGUAAAACUCUGUUAUGAGGGAAGAACAAAUGUGUAAGUAACUAUGCACGUCUUGACGGUACCUGGUCAGAAAGCCACGGCUAACUACGUG